AUAACUUGCUGAAAAAUAUCUGAUGUGGAUCUCUCAGAACUCUGCACUUGAAUUUUACAUCUCUCUGCCCUUCUCUUUUGUGCGUAGAUAAGAACUGUCACCAUUUCCCCUUGCUGAAAUGUAUUAACUUUCAGGGACGGUUGACACUCGGCGAUGUGUUCAUAGAAUUCUCUCUGGAGGAGUGGAAAUGCCUGUCACCAGCUCAGCGGGCCUUGUACAGGGAGGUGAUGUUGGAGAGCUACCGGAACCUGCUGUUCCUGGGAAUUUCUGUGUCUGAUCUGUAUAUUGUCUCCAUUUUGGAGCAAGGGAAAGCACCCUGGACUCUGGAGAGCGAGUGGAAAAUACCACAAGAGCCAAAUUGGCGG